rnacentral:rRNA from 1 species
UGCGGUAAUUUGACCGUGCAAAGGUAGCAUAAUCAGUAGUCUUUUAAUUGAAGGCUGGAAUGAACGGUUGGAUGAAAGAUUAACUGUCUCUAAUAUAAUUUAUAAUUUGACUUUUAAGUGAAAAGGCUUAAAUUAAUUAAAGGGACGAUAAGACCCUAUAAAACUUAACAUAUAUAAAAACUUGUUUUUAAAUUUUAAAUUAAAAUUGUAAAUUUGUACAUAUGUUUCGUUGGGGAGACGUCGAUAUAAAUAGUAACUGUCUGAGUAAAAAUUAUAAUAAUAAUUAGUUUUUGAUCCUUCUUUGAAGAUUAAAAGAAUAAGUUACUUUAGGGAUAACAGCGUAAUUUUCUCUGAGAGUUCUUAUCGAAGAGAGUAGUUGCGACCUCGAUGUUGAAUUAA